UGAAGGGGCUCUACAGUAGGGCUCAGCAAUGAAAGUAUCUAGGAUUUGGGCAUUUCCACACUAUAAGGGGGUGAAAAAGCUUCCAUCAAAAUUCGAGCUGAUCUACCCUUCCCCACCACACCUAUAGAGCCACAGUCAAAGCCAGCAUGCUCCAGAAUCAGCAAGUGAGUAAGGGGCACCUCUAGGUCCUUGGGAGCUGAAUAAGACCACCAAAGACUGUGGGCACACAUUGGAAGAUAACACAGAGAAGGGCAGCAAACAGUAGAAGCUGUGGAGAUUUGAGAGCUUGCUUCAGGCAAAAUCUUUGCUACUUAACUCCAUACAUAGAGAGCCUUCCCAUCUCACUCAGAUUUCUGACUAAAAAGAGAAGGAAAACCCUCCACAGUGAUGGCAAAUUGUGCCCAGGAGCAACAACAUCCCUCCAAGAAAAACAGGAAGAAGGGAUUGACCCUCAAAAAAUUUUAUGGAGGAAAAACCCAGGCUACAGAGGUACUAGAGGAAGAAAUUCAAAUAAAUCCAAAACCUUCCAAAAAUGGAAAUUGUCCACAAGUUCUUGAAAAAUUUAAAUUGGAGCUCAUCAAAAAGUUGGAAGUCUUCUGGCAAGGAAAAUGGGAAAUAGUCCAAAGAGAAAAUAACAGUUUAAAAGACAAGAACUCCCAAUUAGAGAAACAGCUGGAAGCCAUGAAAAGCAGAAUAGACCAAACUGAAAAGGAAAACCAGUUUUUAAAGACCAGAAUUAGGCUACUGGAAGACAAUGAUCUUGCAAAACAGAAAGAAUUAAUGAAGCAAACUCAAAAGACUGACAAAAUAGAAGAAAACAUAAAAUAUCUCACUGACAAGAUGACAGAUCAAGAAAACAGAGCAAGGAGAGACAAUUUGAGAAUCAUUGGUCUACCUGAAAAGCCAGCAAUAAACAGAAAUUUUGACAUCAUACUACAAGAAAUCAUCCAAGAAAACUGCCCUGAUGUCCUUGAACAAGGGGGAAAAAUAGACAUUGAAAGAGUCCAUAGAACACCCUAUACACUAAAUCCUCAAAAGACAACUUCCAGGAAUGUAAAUACAAGAAGCCAAAAAGAGAAAAUUCAGAUACCAAGGAGCAUCAAUCAGGAUCACACAAGACCUGGAAGCUUCUACACUAAAGGACCACAAGUCCUGGAACAUGAUAUUCAGAAAUGGAAGAGAACUGGGUCUUCAACCAAGAAUCACUUAUCCACCAAAACUAACUAUAUACUUCCAGGGGAAAGUAUGGACAUUCAACAAAAUAGAAGAUUUCCAAGUAUUUGUAAAGAAAAGACCAGAACUAAGUGGAAAGUUUGAUAUCUAAACACAAAGAUCAAUAGACCAAACACAAAAAUCAAGAGGAACAUGAAAAGGUAAGUAAGAAAGAGAGGAAAAAGGGGAAAAUG
rnacentral:lncRNA from 1 species